AUCAAAAGAAGAAAAAGGAGUGGAAAAAAUAAGCAUAAUUGAUAAAACUUUGAUCGCAAUCCAAAACUCCAAAAGGACAAAGAACUUUAUGUUCUGCCAUCUCUCUUUGUGUAUUAUGUUAAACGAUGGAAUUAGUUGAAAUAUUAUUACAGAGAAAGAAAGUGCGAGUGAGAGAAAAGAUCAAAAGAUGAAGACGGAAAGUUGCAGGGUUGUGGGCGCAAAAGCAAAUGAAGAAUCUUAAGGAGUAAUAAACGAGUUAAAGGUUUGAGAUUAUAAAGUUAUGGCACGUGUUGCUGAUAAAAUAAAAUUGAUAGAUGGAUCAAGGGAAACUCUUAAGCUUUCUGUAAGGAUCAUUGAUCUUUGGUUCAUUGGGAUUCCCGGAAAGACUGAACAAGCCGAAAUGGUGGUUGUUGAUUCUGAUGGAGACGAAAUCCAUGUUGUUUGCAAGCAGGAUCAGCUGAAGUCUCGCAAGGCUGAUUUGAAAGAAAAUUUGACUUAUGUGAUGCAUAAUUUUAAAGUUAUCAAGAAUGAUGGGAAAUUAAAAAAUUGUGAUCAUGAAUAUAAAUUAUGUUUUAUUGGAGUUACUGUUGUUAGGAAAUGUGAUAUGGAACAGUUACCUUUUAGGAAAUUCAGAUUUUUUGCUUUUUCCAGUGUCAUUGCUGGUCAUUUUAAAAUUGGACUCUUGGUUGGUAAGAUUGUUGUUUGCAAUUUGUGGAUUGAUUUUGAUUGACUUGCUUAUGGCUUUUCAAGUAAGAUACGUUUACCUUGUGGUUGUUUUAGAUGUUAUUGGCGUGGUUGAUGAAGUAUUAUUCCGAUAUGUGUCAUCCAAAAAUACGAGGGUUGUUUUGAAUUUAAAGGAUUUGAGGUUAUCUUUUAGAAUUUAAUAUAAGUGUGUGUGAUUGUUGUUUGUAUCUGAUGAUGAUUAGCUACUGAUAUACUGAUACAUUAAUUGUUGUUUCCUUCUGAUAGUGGACAGGUGCUAUCCUGUACACUAUGGGAAAAUUACUGCUUACAGUUUUUGUCUUAUUUGAAUGAUAUUGAAGAUGAAAGGCCGAUCGUUAUUCUCUUGACUCAUGCUAGGAUUAAGGAAGCACAGGGUCAGUGUAAUGUUAGAUUUCUCAAUUUCCAUGCUUGCUAGAUUAUAUUUUUUUGGGGUCUAAUAUGUAGGAUCAUAUCCGGCAUCGGUCAGUAAUUCUUUCAAGGCAUCUAAACUCAUGAUCAAUGACCUCGUGCUUGAAAUUCAAGAAUUUAGAGAGAGUCUUUUAGAUUUAGGGAUCGAGGUUAGAUCAAUUUUGGCGCCUAUUGGACAAGGGAGUUCACAGUUUCAGGGUCAUCUCAAUUAUCAUCAAAAGAUGUGUUUCUGUCAAAGACUGAAGUAAAAAAUAUCUCUCAGAUUAAUGCCAGUUCAGAGGAGUUUGUUUGUGUUACUGUCGCCAAGAUUACAACCAUAGUUAUGGACAACUAUUCAUGGUGCUAUCUGGCUUGUGGUCAAUGUUAAAAAAAGCUGACAUGCAAACUGUGCCUUUCACAUGUCCGUGUGACAAAGAGAAUGAUCAACCUGUACUGAGGUAUCGGGUUGAGGUGAUGGUUAAUCACAAGGGUGAACAAACCAAAUUUUUGAUCUGGGAUCGUGAAUGUGCACAGUUAAUUGGUCAGUCAACGGAUGAAGUCAACAGGCUCAUAAUAGAAGAUGGGGAUGCUGAUUUAAAUGCCUCUCCUCAAGCGCUAGAUAGGCUAUUGGGUUGUUUCCUUGCAUUCAAAGUGAAGGUGCAACCAAGGUUCAGGAAUUCUGUUGUUCUUAAAUAUUCAAAUGAAUUAGACUUGAUCAAUGUUGUGCUAGAUAUGAUUCCCGAUAGUGAGGUUGUGCUUUGUCAAAUCUAUUUUAGUUAUUGUGAGUGUAUGCAUAUAUUCCAUUUGCUUUUUAACUGUCGAUUCAUAUAUCAUCUAGCCAUGUUGCAAGAUCGAGAAUUCAAUACUUGAUUCGACUGAUCCUACAGUGCUUGAAUCUGUGAGCUAACAUUGUCUUUCUCUGUUUUUCUUGGUGUAUAUUGCAAUUAUCGCAACAAAGUUUAGUUGACUCAUCAAUCAAUAUUUGCUGCAACAAUCUCUGUCUAUUACCGCUGAUCAUGAUCGGUCAAUGCUUGGCUCAAGUGAGCCUAUAGAGUUUGAAUCUCAAUCUGUGUCUGUUACCGGGGAUCAUGACCCUCUUCUCAGGAUUCCAUUGACACCAACUAAGCGUGUAUCUUCUGAUGAGUUGGAUAAUGAGCAAAAAAACUUUCAGAUUUCACCUGCUGAAGUUUCCUCGAACAAAUUAGCCAAGCAUUCUCAGCCUGAAUGAAUUAUGUUGUUGAAAUGUUGCCUUGGAUGUUUUUUGAUGAUCGUAUGGUCAAAUUGUAAUAUUUAUCUUGUCACAGUUUUUGUGGUUUUUAAACUCUUUGCAUGGAGGACGUUGUUGGAACAUUAAUUUUCGUUAAAUAGAUUUUGUAGUUGCAAACAAAAUUGGUUUUUCCCUCUUUGAUUAAAUGAAACAGUAGUUUUUUGGGACUUUGCAUUA